CUAAUCGGAUAGAACUACUUAUUUUCUAUCAAGAUCGAUAGAUUCCAUUUAAGUGCAUCUCACUCUAACAGUGAACUUGAACCUACUGUAGCCAACAUACACAGCAACGAUCUGAAUGAUUAGGGACCAAAGAAACGUGCAGUCAAACUCAGUAGCCUCACUGUGAAUAGCCAAUACACCGUUGGUCAAAGAACCACUCACACUACUAC
rnacentral:lncRNA from 1 species